GAACCAAUAGCACAUUGUCAGUGCGCGUGUUCAAUGUGCCGAGGUUUCUCCUCCCUACACGGCUAGCAGGAGAUCCCUGUUCGAUUCGGGGUUGGUUCA